CCUACGGGUGGCUGCAGUGGGGAAUAUUGGACAAUGGGCGAAAGCCUGAUCCAACCAUGCCGCGUGUGUGAAGAAGGCCUUCGGGUUGUAAAGCACUUUCAGUGGGGAAGAAAGCCUUGGGGCUAAUACCCUCGAGGAAGGACAUCACCCACAGAAGAAGCACCGGCUAACUCCGUGCCAGCAGCCGCGGUAAUACGGAGGGUGCGAGCGUUAAUCGGAAUUACUGGGCGUAAAGCGCGCGUAGGCGGUCUGAUAAGCCGGUUGUGAAAGCCCCGGGCUCAACCUGGGAACGGCAUCCGGAACUGUCAGGCUAGAGUGCAGGAGAGGAAGGUAGAAUUCCCGGUGUAGCGGUGAAAUGCGUAGAGAUCGGGAGGAAUACCAGUGGCGAAGGCGGCCUUCUGGACUGACACUGACGCUGAGGUGCGAAAGCGUGGGUAGCAAACAGGAUUAGAUACCCUAGUAGUC
rnacentral:rRNA from 1 species